CAUGCAAGUCGAGCGAAGUUUUGAAAAGCUUGCUUUUCAAAACUUAGCGGCGGACGGGUGAGUAACACGUGGGCAACCUGCCCUUGAGACGGGGAUAACUCCGGGAAACCGGAGCUAAUACCGGAUAACACAUAUCUUCGCAUGAGGACAUGUUAGAAGGUGGCUUUUAGCUACCACUCAAGGAUGGGCCCGCGGCGCAUUAGCUAGUUGGUGAGGUAACGGCUCACCAAGGCAACGAUGCGUAGCCGACCUGAGAGGGUGAUCGGCCACACUGGGACUGAGACACGGCCCAGACUCCUACGGGAGGCAGCAGUAGGGAAUCUUCCGCAAUGGACGAAAGUCCGACGGAGCAACGCCGCGUGAGUGAUGAAGGUUUUCGGAUCGUAAAGCUCUGUUGUUAGGGAAGAACAAGUAUCUGUUGAAUAAGCAGGUACCUUGACGGUACCUAACCAGAAAGCCACGGCUAACUACGUGCCAGCAGCCGCGGUAAUACGUAGGUGGCAAGCGUUGUCCGGAAUUAUUGGGCGUAAAGCGCGCGCAGGCGGUUCCUUAAGUCUGAUGUGAAAGCCCACGGCUCAACCGUGGAGGGUCAUUGGAAACUGGGGAACUUGAGUGCAGAAGAGGAGAGCGGAAUUCCACGUGUAGCGGUGAAAUGCGUAGAGAUGUGGAGGAACACCAGUGGCGAAGGCGGCUCUCUGGUCUGUAACUGACGCUGA
rnacentral:rRNA from 1 species